rnacentral:rRNA from 1 species
AACGAACGCUGGCGGCAUGCCUAACACAUGCAAGUCGAACGAGAUCUUCGGGUCUAGUGGCGCACGGGUGCGUAACGCGUGGGAAUCUGCCCUUUGGUUCGGAAUAACAGUUGGAAACGACUGCUAAUACCGGAUGAUGACGAAAGUCCAAAGAUUUAUCGCCAGAGGAUGAGCCCGCGUAGGAUUAGCUAGUUGGUGUGGUAAAGGCGCACCAAGGCGACGAUCCUUAGCUGGUCUGAGAGGAUGAUCAGCCACACUGGGACUGAGACACGGCCCAGACUCCUACGGGAGGCAGCAGUGGGGAGUAUUGGACAAUGGGUGAAAGCCUGAUCCAGCAAUGCCGCGUGAGUGAUGAAGGCCUUAGGGUUGUAAAGCUCUUUUACCCGGGAUGAUAAUGACAGUACCGGGAGAAUAAGCUCCGGCUAACUCCGUGCCAGCCGCCGCAGUAA